rnacentral:rRNA from 1 species
CGGACGGGUGAGUAAUGUCUGGGAAACUGCCCGAUGAGGGGGGAUAACUACUGGAAACGGUAGCUAAUACCGCAUAACGUCGCAAGACCAAAGAGGGGACCUUAGGGCCUCUUGCCAUCGGAUGUGCCCAGAUGGGAUUAGCUAGUAGGUGGGGUAAUGGCUCACCUAGGCGACGAUCCCUAGCUGGUCUGAGAGGAUGACCAGCCACACUGGAACUGAGACACGGUCCAG